UCAGCUCUCAACAGUUGGUCACCACGGAGCCAAACAAGGAAAGGAAAAGACAGGAGGAUGUGUCUUCCCAGGAAUUUCCAUACCUUCCAAUAAAAUAUAUUGUGAUGGCACAGAGGAAUUAUUUUAGCACACAGUGUGGUUUUGGUUUAGCAGUUACUGCGGCAUCCUGUAAUCAUUUACAGCCAUUGGAAUGUAUGGGUGAAAUAGGAUAGAUUUAUCUGUUCAUACUUGUGAUAUGUAGACAAUGGGUGUUCCUAAUGAGGAACAUCUGCUUUUGUGUUUUCCCAGAAAACAUUAUUCCACUAUGAAAAUGAUACUCCCAUCCUUUUCAGCAACACCGCAAAGAAAAUAUGGGCCUUUUCCUUUCUUUUAUUUGCUUUUCUUUGGGUCAGCCUCAUUUCCCAGGGAUGCUUUUCCUGCAGCAUCUCUUUCCCGACUGCGCUGCACUUUAUGGUGGUUUCUUGGUGACUCCACGCGUUGCUGCGCCGUGCGAACAUCCCUGAUGUGGCAGAGGACACCUCACCGUGCACAGCAGCACAAGUGCGCACACUCAGCCAUGCUGCGUGAGAAAACCACGCUGAGAGCGACUCCUGGUGUGGGCUGGAACGAAUGGGCGCCCAUAGAUCUCAAUUCAGCACUGAGUUAUUGCCAACUACCGGAGCAGUAACACUUGGUAUGGGAAAGUGUAAACCGAGCCAGGGGUCUGCUGGGGGAACGCUGCUCUGCGACGCUCAGGAGGAAACACAAACCUGAAACCCAACACCACCAACCCAUGUAGGUGACCAACUACCAGUGCUCAGCGCCAGCAAACGUAAAUUUGGGGACCUGGAAAUACACUCUGGUGGUGUCAGAGGACCGAUGCCUGCGCAGAGCUUUUCCACACGCCUGCCUUCCUUCUGUGUUCGCUGCAGUGUGCUCAGCUGCUGAACGCUGCACUCAAGAGUUGCUUUAAAAGCACAUGGUGGGACGCAGAGGACCGUCCCGAGCCCCUGCUCAGCCCCAUGCGUGUGCACAGCCCUGCAGCUCUGGCUGCUCUUUGCAAGGCUGAGAUACGCGCCAUCCUCAUAAAAACAAAAUCUUGAAAAUUCCUAAUGUGGAAGGUGAUUAAAAUUCCUAUAAAAUUGUCAUAUCUUUAAAUUUAGAAGCACGGCAGAUUUUUCAUCAAUAAUUAAGAUCUCUAAAGCAUUUAUGCUAGGCAUAAAUGGAGUUUCAAUCUUCCUUAUUCAAAUAAACAUGAUAAACCCAUUAACCAAAUGUUUUCUGAUUUUUUAUAUCUUCUCAUGCUUCUGGAAUACCAAACUGUAACGCACUUCUGCUCACUUGGGGGAGGCAGAA